CUUGAGUCAGCCUAACUAUGUGCCUGGAUUCCUGUGGGCCAUGAAUGAACCAUACACACAUCACUUCAGUCUUGAUGAAAAUCUGACUAAUGCAUUUGGUAUUUAAGGUCCUAAAGGAUGUGCCCUUCCUGAAGGAGCUAUGGGAUCAAGCCAACAUCAACU
rnacentral:lncRNA from 1 species